AAUGGGACAGGUGCUUAUAAAAGAGGCAUGAGAUAGCUUUUUUGCCACUUCUUUCAUAUGAGAAUACAGUUCAAAAGUACUAUCUGUGAGGAAUGGUCCCUCACCAGGCAUUGAAUCUUCCAGUAACUUGAUUUUGGACUUUCCAAUCUCCAGAACUGUGAGAAAUACAUUUCCUUGGUUUACAAUAUAAUCGAUGUUUAGUAUUUUGUUAAAGCAGACUGAACAGGCUAGGAUAUAUUACCCUUAAUAUAAUCAUUCCAACAAGAGAAGAAGCCAGCAGAAUUGGUAGAGCGUAUAGGCAGUGGGGGUUCAGCAACCAUGUGAAUCAAAGUUAAAAGUUCAACCAGGAACUAUAAAAGAAAGAAAUGCUCUGGACACUUGUUAAAAAUGGCAAGGAAACUGUAGUCCCAGCUACUCCAGAGGCUGAAGCAGGAAGAUCACUUGAGGCCAGAGUUUGAAGCCAGCCUUGGCAACAUAACAAGACCCCAUCUCUAGAAAAAGAAAAAAAAGACAAGGAGACUUCAGUCAAGACUCUUGCAAUAUGGAUCAAGACUGUUUCAAUAAAAGAGAGCAAUUAUAUUCAACUUCACUGAAAGAAAAGGUGGGAGAAUUUUAAAAUGUUGGAAUAAG
rnacentral:lncRNA from 10 species